rnacentral:ncRNA from 1 species
UAAAAAAGGCAAACCUAAUGAAAAUUAGGGACGCAAAGCCACGGGUCUACAACAAUGAAAAUUGUCAUGAUGGCCGGGCUGCCG